UACGUAGGUGGCAAGCGUUGUCCGGAUUUACUGGGCGUAAAGAGCGCGCAGGCGGUCGUUCAAGUCGCGUGUGAAAGCUCCCGGCUCAACUGGGGAGGGUCACGCGAUACUGAUCGACUCGAAGGCAGGAGAGGGUAGUGGAAUUCCCGGUGUAGUGGUGAAAUGCGCAGAUAUCAGGAGGAACACCGGUGGCGAAGGCGGUUCUCUGGGCCUUACCUGACGCUGAGGAGCGAAGGCAUGGGGAGCAAACAGG
rnacentral:rRNA from 1 species